rnacentral:rRNA from 1 species
AUUGAACGCUGGCGGCAUGCCUUACACAUGCAAGUCGAACGGCAGCACGGGGCAACCUGGUGGCGAGUGGCGAACGGGUGAGUAAUGCAUCGGAACGUGCCAUUGAGUGGGGGAUAACGUAGCGAAAGUUGCGCUAAUACCGCAUAUUCUGUGAGCAGGAAAGCAGGGGACCGCAAGGCCUUGCGCUCUUUGAGCGGCCGAUGUCAGAUUAGCUAGUUGGUGAGGUAACGGCUUACCAAGGCGACGAUCUGUAGCGGGUCUGAGAGGAUGAUCCGCCACACUGGAACUGAGACACGGUCCAGACUCCUACGGGAGGCAGCAGUGGGGAAUUUUGGACAAUGGGCGCAAGCCUGAUCCAGCCAUGCCGCGUGAGUGAAGAAGGCCUCGGUGUAAGCUCUUCGUCGGAGAAUACGCAUGGUUAAUACCCUGUGUGGAUGACGGUACCGGAAGUAAGAAGACACCGGCGUAACUACGUGCCG